GACGAACGCUGGCGGCGUGCUUAACACAUGCAAGUCGAGCGGUAAGGCCCUUUCGGGGGUACACGAGCGGCGAACGGGUGAGUAACACGUGGGUGACCUGCCCUCAGCUCUGGGAUAAGCCUGGGAAACUGGGUCUAAUACCGGAUAUGACUCCAUGACGCAUGUUGUGGGGUGGAAAGCCUUGUGCGGCUGAGGAUGGGG
rnacentral:rRNA from 1 species